GUCAUUAUUCUUAUCUCAGUCGGUAGAGUAUGAGACUCUUAAUCUCAAGGUCAUGGGUUUGAGAUACACAUUGGGGACA